ACUCUCUCUCUCUCUGUCUGCAAAUGGAACAGGGGAACCACUACAAGAAGGGUCUGUAGACAGUGGAGGAAGACAAGAUUCUGAUAGAUUAUAUAGGAGUGCAUGGGAAAGGGAGGUGGAAUCGCAUAGCCAAGGUCACAGGUUUCAAGAGGAGUGGAAAGAGUUGCAGGUUAAGAUGGAUGAAUUACCUUAGCCCCAAUGU